rnacentral:rRNA from 1 species
UACGUAGGGGGCAAGCGUUGUCCGGAAUCAUUGGGCGUAAAGAGCGCGUAGGCGGCCCUGUAAGUCCGCUGUGAAAGUCAAGGGCUCAACCCUGGAAUGCCGGUGGAAACUGUCGGGCUAGAGUCCGGAAGAGGCGAGUGGAAUUCCUGGUGUAGCGGUGAAAUGCGCAGAUAUCAGGAGGAACACCAGCGGCGAAGGCGGCGCUCUGGGCCGGAACUGACGCUGAGGAGCGAAAGCGUGGGUAGCAAACAGG